GACGAACGCUGGCGGCGUGCUUAACACAUGCAAGUCGAACGGAAAGGCCCUGCUUUUGUGGGGUGCUCGAGUGGCGAACGGGUGAGUAACACGUGAGUAACCUGCCCUUGACUUUGGGAUAACUUCAGGAAACUGGGGCUAAUACCGGAUAGGAGCUCCUGCUGCAUGGUGGGGGUUGGAAAGUUUCGGCGGUUGGGGAUGGACUCGCGGCUUAUCAGCUUGUUGGUGGGGUAGUGGCUUACCAAGGCUUUGACGGGUAGCCGGCCUGAGAGGGUGACCGGCCACAUUGGGACUGAGAUACGGCCCAGACCCCUACGGGAGGCAGCAGUGGGGAUAUUGCACAAUGGGCGGGAGCCUGAUGCAGCAACGCCGCGUGCGGGAUGACGGCCUUCGGGUUGUAAACCGCUUUCGCCUGUGACGAAGCGUGAGUGACGGUAAUGGGUAAAGAAGCACCGGCUAACUACGUG
rnacentral:rRNA from 1 species